AAUGAACGCUGGCGGCGUGCCUAACACAUGCAAGUCGUACGAGAAAUCCCGAGCUUGCUUGGGAGAGUAAAGUGGCGCACGGGUGAGUAACGCGUGGGCAACCCACCCUCGAAUCUGGGAUAACUCCGCGAAAGCGGUGCUAAUACCGGAUAAGACCACAUUCCGUUCGCGGAAAGAGGUAAAAGCUGACCUCUCCAUGGAAGUUAGCGUUCGAGGACGGGCCCGCGUCCUAUCAGCUUGUUGGUGGGGUAAUGGCCUACCAAGGCAGCGACGGGUAGCUGGUCUGAGAGGAUGAUCAGCCACACUGGAACUGGAACACGGUCCAGACUCCUACGGGAGGCAGCAGUGAGGAAUUUUGCGCAAUGGGGGAAACCCCUGACGCAGCAACGCCGCGUGGGUGAAGAAGGCUUUCGGGUCGUAAAGCCCUGUCAGGUGGGAAGAAACUCUUCAGUACUAAUAAUGCUGAAGCCUGACGGUACCACCAGAGGAAGCACCGGCCAACUCCGUG
rnacentral:rRNA from 1 species